rnacentral:lncRNA from 1 species
GGGUUCGCGGACGGGGCGGGGGAGACGGAGACGGCGGUGGCUCGGCCCUUGGGCCGCAACUUGGGCCCCGCUCCAGGCUGAGGGGACGCAGGCCCCGCGGCGACGGCGGGAGGGCCAGGGCUGGGCCCCCAACCCGCGGGACCCUGCCUUGGCCCUGCCGGCCACCUGGGCCUAGUCCCCGCCGGCCACCUGGGCCUAGUCCCCGACGCGCCCCUGCCGCCCACUAGAGGGCCGAGGUGUUGCCCCCGCGGACGACGGGCGCCUCGCAGGCCCAGCCAGUCCUCUCCGUCGAGGUGCGACACGCAGCGGGGCCUAAAGUGAAAGCUAGCAGCGGGUCGGGCCUGGCGCCCAGGUCACGGCCGGAGGGAGGACGCGCGCGCGCAGCCUGCAGACGGCGCGCGGACAGGGGACUCGGGGAGGCUCGAGGUGACCCCAGGGUCGCCUCACGCCGGCGGCUGGAGGUCGGGGAGUGGGAAGGCGCAGAGCAGGCCCUGGUAACCACUGGGAAUCCGAGCUGAGGGUCCGGGACAGACGCGACACCGCACCACCCGGGGCUGAGCUGAGCCUGGAGUUAAAGGAUGCUUAGAGAUGAAAAGAUUUUGAAGUGAGGAAGCAGGCAUGUUCCUCUGACCAGCUGCCUGGAUCAUAAACCAGAAUCUUUUUCUGCCCCCAGGCGUGGGCAUGGCUGUGAUCCCAACACUCUGGGAGGCUGAGACAGGAAGAUCACAAGUUUUGAGUUUCAUCAGGGCAACUUGACUGUGCUGGGCACAGAAGCAGCCAAGAACUGAAGAAGGGGAAGUUCAUGUGUAAACAAGGCAAAGCGGCUGGAGGGAAGACUGGGAUGACCUGGACCUGACAUCAGCCUGAGAUGUAGGAUCCCAACACUGCCUUUCAGAACCCGUAUGUAGAAGAUCUCUCGUGUUUUCUCGAGAUUUGGACAUACAAAAGGACAGACACCAAGAAGAGCUUGCUAUCAUGGCUUUCCUCACAAUAGUCUGCCCUGUGCCCUCCAGGGUAUACUUUUAUUUUGCUUUUUCCUCCUUUACUUGGCCCAAGCUGGCUCUGCAGAGCCAGUUUCUCCCUCACUCUUCACUUUCACUUUUUCAAAUAAACUUUGUUACUAUUUUUUUGCUGGUUUCAUUCAAUUCUUUGUUCUAG